AAAUCGCGAUAUGUAGUGUGAUCUGCCUAUAGUGAAUCAUCAAAUUUUUGAACGCAUCUUGCACCCCUGGGUAUUCCUGGGGGUACGCCUGUUUCAGUAUCAUUAUUACCUCUCCUCUACCUUGAGGGGAAACAUAACUACUGGCCCUGAGUCGCCUUUUUAGGGGGGCUUCACGGCUAAAAUGCUCGGUUAUUCUUGGCUGAUGACAACCUUUUGGUAAGUUCUUGGACUACUAAAAAGACUCUAAUCGCUCAAGAAAUGGACCUCCCCGUAGACUACUAUGGAGACCCCAACAACCUUGAUCUGAAAUCAGGCGGGAUUACCCGCUGAACUUAA
rnacentral:misc_RNA from 1 species